rnacentral:ncRNA from 2 species
AUUUUGCACUAGGGGAGCUUUUAGGCUGAGAAGAACAAUCCGUUCUGACUCUUAUCACCCGAUCUGGAUAAUACCAGCGUGGGGAAGUGCAGGUGAACGGCU